CCCCUAGUAACGGCGAGUGAAGAGGGAAGAGCUCAAAUUUGAAAGCUGGUACCUUCGGUAUCCGCGUUGUAACCUCGAGACACGUUUUCCGUGCGGCGCUAUGGACAAGUUCCUUGGAACAGGACAUCGUAGAGGGUGAAAAUCCCGUACUUGCCAUGGAUGUACCGUGCUUUGCGAUACGUGCUCUAAGAGUCGAGUUGUUUGGGAUUGCAGCUCAAAAUGGGUGGUAGACUCCAUCUAAAGCUAAAUAUCGGGGAGAGACCGAUAGCGAACAAGUACCGUGAGGGAAAGAUGAAAAGCACUUUGGAAAGAGAGUUAAAAGUACGUGAAAUUGUCGAAAGGGAAGCGCUUGAAGUCAGCCAUGCCGCUCAGGACUCAGCCUGGCUUUUGCUUGGUGUAUUUCCUGGGUAGCAAGUCAGCAUUGGUUUGGAUCGUCGGAGAAGCAUAGUCGGAAUGUGGCGCCCUCGGGCGUGUUAUACCCUUCUAUUGGAUACGACGAUCUAGACCAAGGAACGCAGCGCCCCUUAUGGCGGUCUUCGGGACACCUUCGCGCUUAG
rnacentral:rRNA from 1 species